rnacentral:ncRNA from 2 species
AAGAAAAUAGGGAAUGAAGUUCUCCCUUGGGCAACCUAAACCGCAACAGCUGAUGACUUCUACGAUUUU